CUCGAUCGGCUUUCGUUGGAAUCCAGCAAACCCUGUGGGCUAUGGAGCAGUUGGCUGUGUCUCGGUGCUUCCCAGUACCAAGAAGAGUCCUGGAAUGGACCCACGAAACAGGGAGACUGUCCCGUAUGGCUGAACCGUGUGCUGGGAUCACUGGGAUGUGGCUGGCUGUAUCCCCGAGUAGAGUGGCUUGGGACUGCAGUUUGAAGAGUGACGUGUAUCCGUCACAAGGUGGCAUACAGACCUGGGACCGAUAGUGCACAAGUAGAGUGAUCGAAGGAUGCAAAGAACUCCGCGAAGAGGGUUAAAAGUCCCUGAAGCCGCAACAGGAUCGGUGGUGUGCAGUGCUGUAU
rnacentral:rRNA from 1 species